UAAUAAUAACUAUAUUUAUUAUUGCCUCUAGGGCAUAAUUCCAACAGUCUCCCACUUGCACUAGAGUCAAUAAUCUAGCCCUCACAUCAUCAUGCGAAUUACAUCGUAAUAAAUCUAACAUCCAUACAGUUCUGGUGUUGAUCAUGCUUUGCCCGUGGAAGAGGUUUAGUCAGCGGGUCUGCUACAUUCAGAUCCGUGUGCACUUUGCAUAUAUUUACGUCCUCCCCUUCGACGUAGUCGCGGAUGAGGUUGAAGCGUCGUUUGAUGUGUGUGGACUUCUUGUGAAACCGUGGUUCCUUUGCUAAGGCAAUGGCACCUGUGUUGUCACAGAACAAGGCUAUUGGAUUCAGUGCGCUUGGCACCACUCCAAGAUCCGUCAUGAAUUGCUUCAUCCAGACACCCUCCUUAGCCGCCUCCGAGGCAGCCAUGUACUCCGCUUCACAUGUAGAAUCUGCUACGACGCUUUGCUUGGAACUGCACCAGCUUACCGCACCCCCAUUAAGAAUAAAUACGUAUCCGGUUUGCGACUUAGAGUCGUUCGGAUCUGUGUCAAAGCUUGCAUCGACGUAACCUUUUACGGCGAGCUCUUCGUCACCUCCAUACACGAGAAACAUCUCCUUAGUCCUUUUCAGGUACUNNNNNNNNNNNNNNNNNNNNNNNNNNNNNNNNNNNNNNNNNNNNNNNNNNNNNNNNNNNNNNNNNNNNNNNNNNNNNNNNNNNNNNNNNNNNNNNNNNNNUGAUAUAUUGGAUGUAUGAGAUGAUCAUGUUGUAAUAGAUAAUAUCGACUUGCACGUCGAUGGAACGGCAACCGGCAGGAGCCAUAGGUUUGUCUUUAUAACUAAUGUUUGUGCUUGCAGAUGCGUUUACUAUUUUGCUAGGACGUAGCUUUAGUAGUAAUAGCAUGAGUAGCACGACAACCCCGAUGGCGACACGUUGAUGGAGAUCAUGAUGAUGGAGAUCAUGGUGUGACGCCGGUGACAAGAAGAUCGUGCCGGUGCUUUGGUGAUGGAGAUCAAGAAGCACGUGAUGAUGGCCAUAUCAUGUCACUUAUAAAUUGCAUGUGAUGUUAAUCCUUUUAUGCACCUUAUUUUGCUUAGAACGACGGUAGCAUUAUGAGGUGAUCUCUCACUAAAAUUUCAAGACGAAAUUGUGUUCUCCCCGACUGUGCACCGUUGCUACAGUUCAUCGUUUCGAGACACUACGUGAUGAUCGGGUGUGAUAGACUCAACGUUCACAUACAACGGGUGCAAAACAGUUGCGCACGCGGAACCCUCGGGUUAAGCUUGACGAGCCUAGCAUGUGCAGACAUGGCCUCGGAACACAUGAGACCGAAAGGUCGAGCAUGAAUCGUAUAGUUGAUAUGAUUAGCAUAGAGAUGCUUACCACUGAAACUAUUCUCGACUCACGUGAUGAUCGGACUUGAGGUAGUGGAUUUGGAUCAUGUACCACUCAAAUGACUAGAGAGAUGUACUUUUUGAGUGGGAGUUCUUAAGUAAUAUGAUUAAUUGAACUAAUUGUCAUGAACAUAGUCUAAUGGUCUUUGCGAAUUACGAUGUAGCUUGCGCUAUAGCUCUACUGUUUUAUAUGUUCCUAGAGAAAAUUUAGUUGAAAAUUGAUAGUAGCAAACUUUGCAGACUGAGUCUGUAAAACCGAGGAUUGUCCUCGUUGCUANNNNNNNNNNNNNNNNNNNNNNNNNNNNNNNNNNNNNNNNNNNNNNNNNNNNNNNNNNNNNNNNNNNNNNNNNNNNNNNNNNNNNNNNNNNNNNNNNNNNUGGAACACCACAGCGUAAUGGUGUGUCCGAACGUCGUAAUCGUACGUUGUUAGAGAUGGUGCGAUAUAUGAUGUCUCUUACUGAUUUGCCGUUAUCAUUUUGGGGUUAUGCAUUAGAAACAGCUGCAUUCACUUUAAAUAGGGAACCAUCAAAAUCCGUUGAGACGACACCAUACGAACUGUGGUAUGGCUAAAGGCCAAAGUUGUCGUUUCUUAAAGUUUGGGGAUGUGAUGCUUAUGUCAAAAAGCUUCAGCCUGAAAAGCUGGAACCCAAAGCGGAAAAGUGCGUCUUCAUAGGUUACCCAAAAGAGACAGUUGGGUACACCUUCUAUCUAGAAAAAUGCGUCUUCAUAGGCUACCCAAAAGAGACAGUUGGGUACACCUUCUAUCUCAAAUCCGAGGGCAAAGUGUUUGUUGCUAAGAACGGAACUUUUCUCGAGAAGGAGUUUCUCUCGAGAGAAUUGAGUGGGAGGAAGAUAGAACUUGACGAGGUUGUCGAACCUCUCAUCCCUCUGGAUGGUGGCGCAGGGCAAGGGGAAACCUCUGUCGUUGCGACGCCGGUUGAGGAGGAAGUUAAUGAUGAUGAUCAUGAAACUCCAGUUCAAGUUUCUGUCGAACCAUUGCGAGGCCGGUUGAGGAGGAAGUUAAUGAUGAUGAUCAUGAAACUCCAGUUCAAGUUUCUAUUGAACCACGCAGGUCGACAAGAUCACGCGCUGCUCCAGAGUGGUACGGUAAUCCCGUCUUGUCAAUCAUGUUGUUAGACAACAAUGAACCUGCAAAUUAUGAAGAAGCAAUGGUGGGCCCAGAUUCCAACAAAUGGCUAGAAGCCAUGAAAUCUGAGAUAGGAUCCAUGUAUGAGAACAAAGUGUGGACUUUGGAGAUACUACCUGAGGGCCGCAAGGCUAUUCAGAACAAAUGGAUCUUUAAGAAGAAGACGGACGCUGACGGUAAUGUGACCGUUUAUAAAGCUCGACUUGUGGCAAAGGGUUUUUCACAAGUUCCAGGAAUUGACUACGAUGAGACUUUCUCUCCCGUGGUAAUGCUUAAGUCCGUCAGAAUCAUGUUAGCAAUAGCUGCAUUUUUCNNNNNNNNNNNNNNNNNNNNNNNNNNNNNNNNNNNNNNNNNNNNNNNNNNNNNNNNNNNNNNNNNNNNNNNNNNNNNNNNNNNNNNNNNNNNNNNNNNNNUUUGGGGAGACACACCAGCCCUUAGUGGGCUGGUGGGACAGCCCCAAGGGGCCCUAUUCGCCAAGGAGAAGAAAUCAAAGGAAAAGAAAAAAAAAGAGGGAGGAAGUGGGAAGGGAGGGGGACUCCUCCCACCAAACCAAGUCCAACUCGGUUUGGGGGGGGGGUCCUCCCCCCCUUGGCUCGGCCGAACCUACUCCAAGUAGGAUUGGAGUAGGACUCCUCCACCUCCAAUUUCGGCCAAACCUUUAGGUUUUGUGGCUGCCUCCUCCCCUCCCUCCCACCUAUAUAUACGGAGGUUUUAGGGCUGAUUUGAGACGACUUUUCCACGGCAGCCCGACCACAUACCUCCACGGUUUUUCCUCUAGAUCGCGUUUCUGCGGAGCUCGGGCGGAGCCCUGCUGAGACAAGAUCAUCACCAACCUCCGGAGCACCGUCACGCUGCCGGAGAACUCUUCUACCUCUCCGUCUCUCUUGCUGGAUCAAGAAGGCCGAGAUCAUCGUCGAGCUGUACGUGUGCUGAACGCGGAGGUGACGUCCGUUCGGUACUAGAUCGUGGGACUGAUCGCGGGAUUUUUCGCGGGGCGGAUCGAGGGACGUGAGGACGUUCCACUACAUCAACCGCGUUCUCUAACGCUUCUGCUGUACGAUCUACAAGGGUACGUAGAUCACUCAUCCCCUCUCGUAGAUGGACAUCACCAUGAUAGGUCUUCGUGCGCGUAGGAAAAUUUUUGUUUCCCAUGCGACGUCACCAUGAUAGGUCUUCGUGCGCGUAGGGAAAUUUUUGUUCCCUUGCGACGUUCCCCAACAUACCUUAUAUCAUUAUAUUUCACCAAGUAGCUAAUGUCUUUGCCUUAUCAUUAUGUAGGGGGUGGGAUUACCCGAAGAAUACCCGGAAUCCAAACUGCCUCCUUGGUGCUUUACUUGGGGAGCACUUCCCCGGGAUAGUGCAGUUGCCCGGUGAGGGUAUGGUUCCCGAGCCAGGACUCAAGUGGGAGCACUACCAAGCCGCUCUGCUCCCGGAAAACACUCAUGUGAAUGGUGUUGUUUGCGUGAUCGUGGCCGACAAGGUGUUGGCUGAUUUUUGGGUAACUGUUAUUUUAGCCAAUAAAAAGUAUACAAUGUUAUAUAUUGUUAUUUCCUUCCAAAUCAUUUCACUAUUCAUUUGUGCAUCUAUAUGGCAUAAUUGCAGAGUUACUUUAGGGUCGCGGAGGGGACGGAGGAGGCGGACAAGAAGAACCUCGUGAAAGAGUGCAAGAGUUUAUUGAAUAACACGAGGCACGAGCUGCGUGUUCAGGUUGUUCGAGAUUGGUACGCCAAGGAAGGGGAGUCGAAGACAAAGACUGAAUGUCCAAAUAUUUACCUUGAUAAGACCGAGUACAUGGAGGUAUGUACAUUCCAAAGAUCAAUUCUUUAAUAGUUUUGUUAGGGUUAGUCAGGUCUAUUUAGUUAUAAUACUUAGUUUCAUUCUUCAUUAACUUACAUUCAUAGGUGCCCCCAAGAUCGUUGGCCGAUAAGAUGGAUUGUUGGGAGAUGAUAGUGGACAGGUGGUGCAUAGAGGCUUGGUUGAGCACCCACACUAUGGCCAAGGACCGUCGUGCCCAAUUGGUUGGUGUGCCACACCACCAAGGCAAUGCCAACAUCAAGUAAUACGCCAAAAAUUGGGUAUGUGUGCCUAGUUUUGUUUCAUGAAUAAUUCAUUCGUUCAUGAUUUUUGUUGUACUAAUUCUUUGUCUUUUCGUGUAGGCCAAACACAAUAACCAGCCCGAGCCUCAGGGAUACACCGCGUUUAGCAUGGCCCAUAAGGGCUCGUACAAGACGGCGAAGGCAUAUUCUGAGGGGGACGAGCCGUCAGCGUACACAAGCAUGUCCGCCUAUAGCAAGAUGACAUCUUAUUCUGAGGUGGUCAAACAGCUGCGUGGGCCUGACUUUGACCCGAGCCAUAAUCCUAUCGAUCCGGAGGCGUUGAUGAUCUCUCGUGGCGGUAAGAGUCAUGGCACGCUGGCCAUGUGUGAUGGCUUCGUCCCUAUCACUGAGACUCUAUCUCAGAUCAAGACGAGGCAAACGAGCUCCGCUCCUGUAAUACGGCAACGCGCGAGGCCAGUUGAUCUUGCCAUCGAGGUUAGUUUUCUUCAUUAUUUCUUUCGUUCAUUUGUCCCUGAAUGGAUGAUGAAAAUUCCUUUUGAGGAGUGGUUGCAGGCCGCACUUGAGAAGGAGAGGGAGGCCACCAGGCUCUUGUUGGAGGAGAGAGACCAAAAUACGCUGAGGUUGCUUGAGGAGGAGAUGGCACGCAAUAAUGCCCAUGCGAAGGCCAUGCACGACUUCGUUGCGGUAAGUCAGUUGUGUGAGAAGCAACAAGGCUAUUUCUUUGACUCGUCGAAAACUAAUUUGCAGGCUAUAUGUGAUAAGCAAGGUUUGUCGCCCCCUCCGCCGAUGCCUUCUCCGGUGGGAACGGUGAGUUCCCUUUCAAUGACCAACCUUCCACGGUCUUAUACCAUUGUCCGUCGCCGUGCUAACCACAUAUUUUAACUCUUGCCUUGUUGUAGCAUCAUUCCAGAGUUGAAUCCCAUGAUCCCUUUACUUCUCCUGGUGAGAGCCCUAGCAACCCAGCGACCAACGGAGAUGAUGCUUCUCCUCCGUUUCUUGGCAUUCAGUAAGUUAUUCCUCUCCUUCUUAUUCUUCUUAUUGUUUAGGUCAACUUAGAUUAUGCCAUGCUUUAGUUAGCUCAGUAAAUUCUAGUUGAUAUUAGCCAUGCUUUAGUUAGCUUAGUAAAUUCUAGUUGAUAAUUAGCUUACUUACCUAAAAAAUUACAUAAUUACCUUACUUACUUCAAAAAUGACAUAAUUACUUGAUAACACAAAAAAAUAGCAUAAUUAGUUGACAUUAGAGCUCAAAAAUGACAUAAUUAGUUUAGAAAGUUCUAAAAGAAACCAGAAGAGAAGAACAAAGAAGAGAUGAAGAAAUAAGAGAAGAACAAAGAAGCUCAAAAAAGACAUAAUUCUUGUUCUUCUUCUUCUUCUUCCACUUCUUCUUCUAAUUGCUUAGCUUAAUUUAACUUCUUUAUUAUUGUAUUCUUCUUCUAACUUCUUUCUCAUUAUGAAGAUUUUGAUAAAGCAGCAUGGCAUAUGGAUGGAUGCUCCAUGGACUGUACUCAUGUAGUCUUAGAUGAACUUUGUAAUGCACUUGUAUUUACGGAUGCACUUGUGAUGCUUUGUAAUACUUUGUGAUCUUGUUUGCACUUUAAUUACAUAUAUUGGUGCUCUUUUCACUUUGUGAUGCACUUGUGGUGCUGUUUGCACUUUGUGAUGCACUGUGGUGAUGUUUAGGGCCUGGGCAAAUAUAUAUAUAUUGUUGUUUGUAUCUAUGUUUUGCAAAUGCAGGGAAUUAACAGAAAACAAAUAUUAAAAAAGCAGAGAGGGUCUUUCUUACUGACGACAAAGCCUAUGCCGUCGGUGGGCUGACGGCAAAGAAGGACACGUGGCGACAGCCUGUGUAACCUAGCAACUGUGAGAUCACCAAAUUUUCCUAGAUUUUCGGCUUUGCCGUUAGCUGUGCUUCAGCUGUGGGCAAAGAGGGGACCCAGGUUUUCGGCUUUGCCGUCACCUGUGCUCCGGCUGUGGGCAAAGAGGGGGCCCACAUGUCAGUGCUGCUAGCAUCCCUAAAACGUAUGGCCCACCAGAACUUUGUCGUCCGCCAGCGUACAGCUGACGGCAAAGCCUGCCGUUAACCCUCUAAAGGGGCUCGGCUUGCGUCGUUGCCGCCAUUGCUCUAUGUCGUCAGCCCGUGCCAAAAAGCUGAUGGCAAAGGCUUUGCCGUCGGUCGAUUUGCAGCUAACAGCAAAGAAGGUGAUUGCCGAUAAAAUCGUGGCCAACUCCUUUGCCGUCCGUUAAACAGGUCGUUGCCGUCAGCUCUAGCUGUCGGCAAACCAUCAGAUUCCAGUAGUGUAAACGCACUCUAAAUUUAAAAAUUGAAAAUAUAUGUGAAAUUAAAGACAAAUUUGAACCUAAAUAUAAAUCACUUUGAAGUUUCUCUAUAAAUUCUCAUAUAGUUUCAAUUUUUUUCCAUUAUUUUUGUUUUGUUCUUUGCUUUACUUCUUUUUUUUUUCUACUUACAACUAAAAUUUAGUUAUCAAAUUUGAAUUCUUUGGGUUGGAUUUUUUUCUCUUCUAUUUUAGUUUUCUAUUAAAGAUGUUAACCAAAAAACUUUAUGAAAAUUCUUUUGAGUUGAUCUUUUUUUGUUUCUUUUUAGUUAAUGUUUUACUUGAUUCUUUUUUAACAAAUAAGCACUUUGAUCAUUUUAGUUGAUUAUUUUUAAUUCAUUCAUUUUAGUUAAUGUUUGAGUUGAUUCUUUUUAGUUGACUCUUUUCUUGUUUUCUAUUAAAUAUUUUAACAAAAAUAUUCAACAAUUUCUCACUUCAUUUGGUAUUUUUCGUGCAUUUACUUAUUUUUUUAGCUAGUUGACCCUGAAAUUGAAAAGCACUAUAAAGGAACUCUGAAAUGUUGAAAGAUGGCAUGCUAUCAUCAUUUCACCCACAUAGCAUGUGCUAAAAAGUUGAGAGGGUUACGACAAAAACUAGAUGCACUUCAUGUACAAAAUGGACAAUCUCUCUCGAAAUAUGAGGGUUUCGAACGAGAACUCAUAUGUUACAAAGGGAUUUCAUUUUUUUGAACUUAUUGGAACUCCAUACUUUUUGUGUGUUCAAAAUGCACCAUUCAAAGGCGCAUCACAAAGUUUCAACAAUAUCUCACCUCAUUUGGUAUUUUUCAUGCAUUUACUUUUUUUUGAGCUAGUUGACCCUGAAAUUGAAAAGCACUACAAAUGAACUCUGAAAAUGUUGAAUGUUCGCAUGGUAUCAUCAUUUCACCCACAUAGCAUGUGCUAAAAACUUGAGAGGGUUACGACAAAAACUGGAUGCACUUCGUGAACAAAACGGACAAUCUCUCUCGAAGUAUCAAGGUUUCAAACGAGAACUCAUGUGUUACAAAGGGAAUUGAUUUUUUUGAACUUAUUUGAACUCCAUACUUUUUGUGUGUUCAAAAUGCACCAUUUAAAGGCACAUAGUAAAUUUUCAACAAUUUCUGACUUCAUUUGGUAUUUUUCGUGCAUUUACUUAUUUUUUUAGCUAGUUGACCCUGAAAUUGAAAAGCACUAUAAAGGAACUCUGAAAUGUUGAAAGAUGGCAUGCUAUCAUCAUUUCACCCACAUAGCAUGUGCUAAAAAGUUGAGAGGGUUACGACAAAAACUAGAUGCACUUCAUGUACAAAAUGGACAAUCUCUCUCGAAAUAUGAGGGUUUCGAACAUGUUAAAAAGUUGAGAUGGUUACGACAAAAAAUGAAUGCACUUCGUGUACAAAACGGACAAUCUCUCUCGAAGUAUCACGGUUUCGAACGAGAACUCAUCUGUUACAAAGGGAUGUCAUUUUUUUGAACUUAUUUGAACUCCAUACUUUUUGUGUGUUCAAAAUGCACCAUUCAAAGUCACAUCACAAAUUUUAACCAAUUUCUGACUUCAUUUGGUAUUUUUCGUGCAUUUACUAAUUAUUUUUUGAGCUAGUUGACCCUGAAAUUGAAAAGCACUACAAAUGAACUCUGAAAAUGUUGAAUGUUCGCAUGGUAUCAUCAUUUCACCCACAUAGCAUGUGCUAAAAACUUGAGAGGGUUACGACAAAAACUGGAUGCACUUCGUGAACAAAACGGACAAUCUCUCUCGAAGUAUCACGGUUUCAAACGAGAACUCAUCUGUUACAAAGGGAUGUAAUUUUUUUGAACUUAUUUGAACUCCAUAAUUUUCUGUGUUCAAAAUGCACAAUUCAAAGUCACAUCACAAAUUUUCAACAAUUUCUGACUUCAUUUGGUAUUUGUCGUGCAUUUACUUCUUUUUUUUGAGCUAGUUGACACUGAAAUUGAAAAGCACUACAAAUGAACUGUGAAAAUGUUGAAAGUUGGCAUGGUAUAAUCAUUUCACCCACAUAGCAUGUGCUAAAAUUUUGAUAGGGUUACGACAAAAACAGGAUGCACUUCGUUUACAAAACAGACAAUCUCUCUCGAAGUAUCAGGGUUUCGAACGAGNNNNNNNNNNNNNNNNNNNNNNNNNNNNNNNNNNNNNNNNNNNNNNNNNNNNNNNNNNNNNNNNNNNNNNNNNNNNNNNNNNNNNNNNNNNNNNNNNNNNGUGUUACUAUUGCAAGGGUAUGGGUCACUGGAAGCGCAAUUGCCCCAAGUAUCUGGCAGAUAAGAAGGCGGCCAAAGAAAAAUCAGGUAUAUUUGAUAUACAAGUUAUUGAUGUGUACUUAACCGGCUCUCGUAGUAGUGGCUGGGUAUUCGAUACCGGUUCUGUUGCUCAUAUUUGCAACUCGAAACAGGAACUGCGGAAUAGACGAAGGCUGGCGAAAGAUGAAGUGACGAUGCGCGUAGGAAAUGGUUCCAAGGUUGAUGCAAUCACCAUCGGCACAGUUUCACUUCAGUUACCAUCAGGAUUAGUUAUGAACUUGAAUCAUUGUUAUUUAGUGCCUGCGUUGAGCAUGAACAUUAUAUCUGGAUCUUGUUUAUUGCGAGACGGUUACUCUUUUAAGUCUGAGAAUAAUGGUUGUUCUAUUUCUAUGAGUACCAUCUUUUAUGGUCAUGCACCCAAUGUGAGAGGAUUGUUCAUAUUGAAUCUUGAUAGCAAUACACACAUACAUAACAUUGAGACCAAAAGAGUUAGAGUUAACAAUGAUAGCGCCAUAUUUUUGUGGCACUGCCGCUUAGGUCAUAUUGGUGUAAAGCGCAUGAAGAAACUCCAUGCUGAUGGACUUUUGGAGUCACUUGACUUUGAUUCACUUGACACGUGCGAACCAUGCCUCAUGGGCAAGAUGACUAAAACUCCAUUCUCCGGAACAAUGGAGCGUGCAAGUGACUUGUUGGAAAUCAUACAUACCGAUGUGUGUGGUCCAAUGAGCGUAGAGGCACGCGGCGGAUAUCGUUAUUUUCUCACCUUCACUGACGAUUUGAGUAGAUAUGGUUAUGUCUACUUAAUGAAGCACAAGUCUGAAACAUUUGAAAGGUUCAAGAAAUUAGAGAGUGAAGUUGAAAAUCAUCGUAACAAGAAGAUCAAAUUCCUACGGUCUGAUCGUGGGGGUGAAUAUCUGAGUUUCGACUUUGGUGCUCACUUAGGACAAUGUGGAAUUGUUUCACAGUUAACACCGCCUGGAACACCACAGCGUAAUCGUGUGUCCGAACGUUGUAAUCGUACUUUAUUAGAGAUGGUGCGAUCUAUGAUGUCUCUUANNNNNNNNNNNNNNNNNNNNNNNNNNNNNNNNNNNNNNNNNNNNNNNNNNNNNNNNNNNNNNNNNNNNNNNNNNNNNNNNNNNNNNNNNNNNNNNNNNNNUUGGACCGACAUUACUCGUACGCUUACGAGAGACUGGUUUCAUCGUUACGAGUAACCCCCUUUGCUCAAAGAUGACUGGCAAGUGUCGGUUUCUCCAACUUUAGUUGAAUCGGAUUUGACCGAGGAGGUCCUUGUGUGAGGUUAAAUAGCAACUCAUAUAUCUCCAUUGUGGUGUUUGCGUAAGUAAGAUGCGAUCCUACUAGAUACCCUUGGUCACCACGUAAAACAUGCAACAACAAAAUUAGAGGACGUCUAACUUGUUUUUGCAGGGUAUGAUUGUGAUGUGAUAUGGCCAACGAUGUGAUGUGAUAUAUUGGAUGUAUGAGAUGAUCAUGUUGUAAUAGAAAUAUCGACUUGCACGUCGAUGGUACGGCAACCGGCAGGAGCCAUAGGGUUGUCUUUAUACUAACGUUUGUGCUUGCAGAUGCGUUUACUAUUUUGCUAGGAUGUAGCUUUAGUAGUAAUAGCAUAAGUAGCAUGACAACCCCGAUGGCAACAUGUUGAUGGAUGAUCAUGGUGUGGCGCCGGUGACAAGAAGAUCGUGCCGGUGCUUUGGUGAUGGAGAUCAAGAAGCACGUGAUGAUGGCCAUAUCAUGUCACUUAUAAAUUGCAUGUGAUGUUAAUCCUUUUAUGCACCUUAUUUUGCUUAGAACGACGGUAGCAUUAUGAGGUGAUCUCUCACUAAAAUUUCAAGACGAAAUUGUGUUCUCCCCGACUGUGCACCGUUGCUACAGUUCGUCGUUUCGAGACACCACGUGAUGAUCGGGUGAUAUAGACUCAACGUUCACAUACAACGGGUGCAAAAAAGUUGCGCACGCGGAACACUCGGGUUAAGCUUGACGAGCCUAGCAUGUGCAGACAUGGCCUCGGAACACAUGAGACCGAAAGGUCGAUCAUGAAUCAUAUAGUUGAUAUGAUUAGCAUAGGGAUGCUUACCACUGAAACUAUACUCAACUCACGUGAUGAUCGGACUUGGGAUAGUGUAAGUGGAUCAUGAACCACUCAAAUGACUAGAGAGAUGUACUUUUUGAGUGGGAGUUCUUAAGUAAUAUGAUUAAUUGAACUAAUUGUCAUGAACAUAGUCUAAUGGUCUUUGCGAAUUACAAUGUAGCUUGCGCUAUAGCUCUACUGUUUUAUAUGUUUUUGAAUAUAUUUGUGUUGUAGAUCAUGGCUCACGCGACAGUCAUCCUGAAUUUUAAUACGUUCCUAGAGAAAGCUAAGUUGAAAGAUGAUGUAAGCAACUUUGUAGACUGGGCUCGUAAUCUUAAACUAAUCUUACAAGCUGGGAAGAAGGAUUAUGUCCUUAAUGCUGCGCUAGGAGAUGAACCACCCGCUACGGCUGAUCAGGAUGUUAAGAACGCUUGGUUAGCACGUAAGGAGGACUACUCAAUAGUUCAAUGUGCAGUCUUGUAUGGCUUAGAACCGGGACUUCAACGUCGCUUUGAGCGUCAUGGAGCAUUUGAGGUGUUCCAGGAGUUGGAGUUUAUCUUUCAGAAGAACGCCCGGAUCGAGAGGUAUGAGACCUCCGAUAAAUUCUAUGCUUGCAAGAUGGAGGAAAACUCGUCUGUCAGUGAACAUGUGCUCAAAAUGUCUGGGUACUCAAACCGUCUAGCUGAGCUGGGGAUUGAACUCCCACAAGAAGCUAUCACUGACAGAAUCCUUCAAUCACUGCCGUCAAGCUAUAAAGGCUUUGUGUUGAACUACAACAUGCAAGGGAUGANNNNNNNNNNNNNNNNNNNNNNNNNNNNNNNNNNNNNNNNNNNNNNNNNNNNNNNNNNNNNNNNNNNNNNNNNNNNNNNNNNNNNNNNNNNNNNNNNNNNCUUUUGUGUUCUACUCGAGAAGACAUCUACGCAUGAACCUAGCUCUGAUACCACUGUUGGGGAACGUCGCAUGGGAAACAAAAUUUUUCCUACGCGCACGAAGACCUAUCAUGGUGAUGUCCAUCUACGAGAGGGGAUGAGUGAUCUACGUACCCUUGUAGACCGUACAGCAGAAGCGUUAGAGAACGCGGUUGAUGUAGUGGAACGUCCUCACGUCCCUCGAUCCGCCCCGCGAACAAUCCCGCGAUCAGUCCCACGAUCUAGUACCGAACGGACGGCACCUCCGCGUUCAGCACACGUACAGCUCGACGAUGAUCUCGACCUUCUUGAUCCAGCAAGAGAGACGGAGAGUAGAAGAGUUCUCCGGCAGCGUGACGGCACUCCGGAGGUUGGUGAUGACCUUGUCUCAGCAGGGCUCCGCUCGAGCUCCGCAGAAACGCGAUCUAGAGGAAAAACCGUGGAGGUAUGUGGUCGGGCUGCCGUGGAAAAGUCGUCUCAAAUCAGCCCUAAAACCUCCGUAUAUAUAGGUGGGAGGGAGGGGAGGAGGCAGCCUCAAAACCUAAAGGUUUGGCCGAAAUUGGAGGUGGAGGAGUCCUACUCCAAUCCUACUUGGAGUAGGAUUCCACCUUCCGGCCGAGCCAAGGGGGAGGUCUCUCCCCCCCCCAAACCGAGUUGGACUAGGUUUGGUGGGAGGGAGUCCCCCUUCCUUCCCACCUCCUCCUUUUUUUUCUUUCUCUCUUGAUUUUCUUCUCCUUGGCGCAUAGGGAACUUGUGGGCUGUCCCACCAGCCCACUAAGGGCUGGUGUGUCUCCCCAAAGGCCUAUGGGCUUCCACGGGGUGGGUUGCCCCCCCGGUGAACUCCCGGAACCCAUUCGUCAUUCCCGGUAUAUUCCCGGUAACUCCAAAAACCUUCCGGUAAUCAAAUGAGGUCAUCCUAUAUAUCAAUCUUCGUUUCCGGACCAUUCCGGAAACUCUCGUGACGUCCGUGAUCUCAUCCGGGACUCCGAACAACAUUCGGUAACCAACCAUAUAACUCAAAUACGCAUAAAACAACGUCGAACCAGAUCCCAUCCGGGACUCCGAACAACAUUCGGUAACCAACCAUAUAACUCAAAUACGCAUAAAACAACGUCGAACCUUAAGUGUGCAGACCCUGCGGGUUCGAGAACUAUGUAGACAUGACCCGAGAGACUCCUCGGUCAAUAUCCAAUAGCGGGACCUGGAUGCCCAUAUUGGAUCCUACGUAUUCUAGGAAGAUCUUAUCGUUUGAACCUCAGUGCCAAGGAUUCGUAUAAUCCCGUAUGUCAUUCCCUUUGUCCUUCGGUAUGUUACUUGCCCGAGAUUCGAUCGUCAGUAUCCGCAUACCUAUUUCAAUCUUGUUUAUCGGCAAGUCUCUUUACUCGUUCCGUAAUACAAGAUCCCGCAACUUACACUAAGUUGCAUUGCUUGCAAGGCUUGUGUGUGAUGUUGUAUUACCGAGUGGGCCCCGAGAUACCUCUCCGUCACACACGGAGUGACAAAUCCCAGUCUUGAUCCAUACUAACUCAACUAACACCUUCAGAGAUACCUGUAGAGCAUAUUUAUAGUCACCCAGUUACGUUGCGACGUUUGAUACACACAAAGCAUUCCUCCGGUGUCAGUGAGUUAUAUGAUCCUCUCCNNNNNNNNNNNNNNNNNNNNNNNNNNNNNNNNNNNNNNNNNNNNNNNNNNNNNNNNNNNNNNNNNNNNNNNNNNNNNNNNNNNNNNNNNNNNNNNNNNNNAUAAUAAACGAUUAUCAUGAACUAAGAAAUAUAAUAAUAACUAAUAAUAACUAAUUUAUUGUCUAUGCCAGAAGGCAGAGUGACAACAUCAAUUUCUAGGGGUAGGGGGAUCAGUCAGUGAGCAGCAACUGCAAGUGCAGAGGAAGCAUCUAUAUCAAGUCAACAAGCAGCAGCUUUAGCAAGACCCAAGAAAAAACAUGCAAGAGGGGGAAGCACUGUAGGAAGAGUAGCAACAAAUGCUGCAAGAGGAGGAAGAACUGUUGCGAGGGGAGGAAGGAAUGGUGCAAGAGAAGGAAGAACUACUAGUGGAGGAGGAAGAAAUGGUGCAAGAGGAGGAAGUACUGCUGCUGAUACACUCGGAAGAAGAAAUGGUGCAAGAGGAGGAGGAAUAGGUGAUGUUGGUCCUGGAGAUCUGAGAGGACCGCUCCUCGCUUUUACAAUCUCCUGUUUGGAGAUGAUGGAGCUAUUGAUAGAACACAAUUCAUGCGGGGUGAAGAGGAGGUUUUGUUCAACCAAAAUGCACCACAGAUUACGCUAUCGCAAUAUGGUUGCCCUAUUGAUGUGCAUGAUUUUCUUUCACUUUAGUUUACAUUGAAAGAAGUUAGAGUUCAUCAAUGGAGUUUUGGUUACAUUGAGUUCAUGAAUGAACCACUCUUGUAGUUGGGGUAAAGGUGUAGUAGUCAAGGCCUUCUGUAAAUUUAUUUUGCUUUGGUUUCAUCAAUCUUCAGACUGAACGAAACUGUAUUUUGCUAUGCUUUGGUUUAUGAUAUGACAAGGCAACUAGAUCAAGAGGCCUCUCUCAUUAAUAUUUAGCUAAUUUCUAUAUGUUGUGGCUUCAAUUAAUCGGUAGAACUGCUGUUGUAGUGCAAGCGCUCUUUAACUUCUAUAGCCUGAUGCAAGAUAAUACAAAGAAUCAAAAAUGGGGAAAUACUGUCUUGGAUGUGUUCUAAAAUAGUCGCUUGCAGCUUGCCAAUGUGAUGGAACACGGGAAUUUGGCUCAAGCCAUAUUGCUCACCAAGUUGCUAUAAUGAAUGAUCCCCAUUUCUCCUCGGAUAAUAAUGAUUCUUGAUACAUCCCAACCCUAGAUGAUGGGCACACUUUCAACCAAGAGACAAUACGUACAUGAGCAUAGAUGAUCUGUCGGGUAACCAUACCGGAAAAAUGCCACAACUCAUUCAUACCAUGUAUGUUUUAUAUGCAGAUGUAUGAAAGGUCUUGUCCCAAGUGAUUGGUUUGGUGGCAAGUCUUGGUUCCAACAUUAAUAUUUCACAUUUAUGUGACACUUGACGCCUGGAACCAUGUAUAAGUAGAUUUUUCU
rnacentral:lncRNA from 1 species